AUGGCGGCAGCAGCUGCACGGGCGGGAGGGGGGCGGUAGCGCAGGCGGUGGUGGGGUUGGCGGGGGUUCCAGCUGCGGGACAGGCAGUGGCCGUAGCGGCAUGUGGAUAAGUCGAAGAUAAGUGAUAUGCCUGGAAAAACGGACAAGUGGGAUGGAUCAGCUGUGAAAAACUCUGGAUGAUUCUGCCAAAAAGAUACUUCUGGAAAAAUACAAAUACGUGGAGAAUUUUUGUCUAAUUGACGGUCACCUCACCAUCUGUACAAUCUCCUGUUGCUUUGCCAUAGUGGCUGUGAUUUGGGAUUAUAUGCAUCCCUUUCCAGAGUCCAAGCCCGUUUUGGCUUUGUGAUGAUGGGAAUUCUGACUAUUUAGACCUCAUCUAAGGAGAAGACCAUCUUUCUCGUGGCCCACAGAAAAGAGCCUACAGGAGUGGAUUCUGAUGCUAUUUGGGAGCUGCCCUCCAGUCUUAAAAGGUUUGAUGGCAGAUACACCCUGAAGCUGACCUUCAUCAGCAGGAGAACAAAGCAGCAGCGGGAAGCCAAGUUCACCAAGUCUAUGGCUGAAUUUUUCUGACCCCAGUGGGAGACUGGUCAUGGAUGCAUGAGCCUGAAAUGUCCAGGCUCCCUGACACUCUCCCCAUGGGAAGAAACAUCAAAUAG
rnacentral:lncRNA from 1 species